rnacentral:rRNA from 1 species
AUUGAACGCUGGCGGCAUGCCUUACACAUGCAAGUCGAACGGUAACAGGUUAAGCUGACGAGUGGCGAACGGGUGAGUAAUGUAUCGAAACGUGCCCAGUCGUGGGGGAUAACUACUCGAAAGAGUGGCUAAUACCGCAUACGACCUGAGGGUGAAAGCGGGGGACCGUAAGGCCUCGCGCGAUUGGAGCGGCCGAUAUCAGAUUAGCUAGUUGGUGGGGUAAAAGCCCACCAAGGCGACGAUCUGUAGCUGGUCUGAGAGGACGACCAGCCACACUGGGACCGAGACACGGCCCAGACUCCUACGGGAGGCAGCAGAGGGGAAUUUUGGACAAUGGACGCAAGUCUGAUCCAGCCAUGCCGCGUGCGGGAAGAAGGCCUUCGGGUUGUAAACCGCUUUUGUCAGGGAAGAAACGAGUUUCUCUAAUACAGAGACUUAAUGACGGUACCUGAAGAAUAAGCACCGGCUAACUGCGUGCCAGCCGCCGCAGUAACAC